rnacentral:rRNA from 1 species
GGGCGGCCUACACAUGCAGUCGAGCGGCAGCGGGAAGAUAGCUUGCUAUCUUUGCCGGCGAGCGGCGGACGGGUGAGUAAUGCCUAGGGAUCUGCCCAGUCGAGGGGGAUAACAGUUGGAAACGACUGCUAAUACCGCAUACGCCCUACGGGGGAAAGGAGGGGACCUUCGGGCCUUCCGCGAUUGGAUGAACCUAGGUGGGAUUAGCUAGUUGGUGAGGUAAUGGCUCACCAAGGCGACGAUCCCUAGCUGUUCUGAGAGGAUGAUCAGCCACACUGGGACUGAGACACGGCCCAGACUCCUACGGGAGGCAGCAGUGGGGAAUAUUGCACAAUGGGGGAAACCCUGAUGCAGCCAUGCCGCGUGUGUGAAGAAGGCCUUCGGGUUGUAAAGCACUUUCAGUAGGGAGGAAAGGUAAUAGUUUAAUACGCUAUUACUGUGACGUUACCUACAGAAGAAGGACCGGCUAACUCCGUGCCAGCAGCCGCGGUAAUACGGAGGGUCCGAGCGUUAAUCGGAAUUACUGGGCGUAAAGCGUGCGCAGGCGGUUUGUUAAGCGAGAUGUGAAAGCCCCGGGCUCAACCUGGGAAUUGCAUUUCGAACUGGCGAACUAGAGUCUUGUAGAGGGGGGUAGAAUUCCAGGUGUAGCGGUGAAAUGCGUAGAGAUCUGGAGGAAUACCGGUGGCGAAGGCGGCCCCCUGGACAAAGACUGACGCUCAGGCACGAAAGCGUGGGGAGCAAACAGGAUUA